UGGGGAAUAUUGGACAAUGGGCGAAAGCCUGAUCCAGCCAUGCCGCGUGUGUGAAGAAGGUCUUCGGAUUGUAAAGCACUUUAAGUUGGGAGGAAGGGCAGUUACCUAAUACGUGAUUGUUUUGACGUUACCGACAGAAUAAGCACCGGCUAACUUUGUGCCAGCAGCCGCGGUAAUACAGAGGGUGCAAGCGUUAAUCGGAAUUACUGGGCGUAAAGCGCGCGUAGGUGGUUAGUUAAGUUGGAUGUGAAAUCCCCGGGCUCAACCUGGGAACUGCAUUCAAAACUGACUGACUAGAGUAUGGUAGAGGGUGGUGGAAUUUCCUGUGUAGCGGUGAAAUGCGUAGAUAUAGGAAGGAACACCAGUGGCGAAGGCGACCACCUGGACUGAUACUGACACUGAGGUGCGAAAGCGUGGGGAGCAAACAGGAUUAGAUACCCAGGUAGUCCCUGAGCGGGCUGGCAAGGCGCAU
rnacentral:rRNA from 1 species